UGGGGGAUAUUGCACAAUGGGCGCAAGCCUGAUGCAGCGACGCCGCGUGGGGGAUGAAGGCCUUCGGGUUGUAAACUUCUUUUGCUCUGAACAAGGCGCACUUUGGGGUGUGUUGAGUGUAGGGGUUGAUUAGCGCCGGCUAACUACGUGCCAGCAGCCGCGGUAAUACGUAGGGCGCGAGCGUUGUCCGGAAUUAUUGGGCGUAAAGGGCUUGUAGGUGGCUGGUUGCGUCUGUCGUGAAAGCUCAUGGCUUAACUGUGGGUUUGCGGUGGGUACGGGCUGGCUUGAGUGAAGUAGGGGAGGCUGGAAUUCCUGGUGUAGCGGUGGAAUGCGCAGAUAUCAGGAGGAAUACCGGUGGCGAAGGCGGGUCUCUGGGCUGUUACUGACACUGAGGAGCGAAAGCAUGGGGAGCGAACAGG
rnacentral:rRNA from 1 species